CCCCCUUAGCAAUAUCUUCUUAGUUCUUCAUUAUUACUUUUCCUCGCUAAACUUGCAAUUAAUUACUAAAACAUUUACAUUUACUUCGACAGAACUAGUUUAUAACUGACACUUAGGCAAUCAUAUUAACUGUAAAUAAUUGCUAAUUAACUUAACGUCAACGUUUGCUGUAAAAGAAAAGUCACGACGACCGCUAGAAAUAACCACUCUAAAUUAAGUACCGUCUCUUUCAAUUAUAUUGUGCUAUCUUCCUCGUCGGUUGUAUAUUAAUAUGUAAGUAUUAUUAAUAUGAACAUCUGUAUUGUAUACGUGUCACUUUUACAUACAUCUAGUUGUUUUGUUGUGAAUAGCUGAAAUAAAAGAAGGAAACUGAAGAAAAGACAGAUACCUCACGAAAUAAUGAUGUUGGUUUUGUGCCCGGGUCAGACGCUUUCGGAAAUUCCCGAUGUGAAUUUUCCGAGGCCUCUCCCUCACUCCCCUUUCGCGUGCGCGCGUGUUUUUUUUUUCAUAUUCGUUUAGAGGAAGUUGUUUUAGACCUAUAACACAAUUUAUUUGGUUAAUAUAGGGCGUUACGCAUAUCAGAAAAUCAAAAAAAAAAUGUGUGUAAUAGGUGUAAAACAACUUCCUAUGAACGAAUAUGAAAAAAAAAAUUCGCGCACGCGAAAGGGGGUGGGGGAGAGGACCUCGGAAAAUUCACAUCGGGAAGUUCCGAAAGCGUCUGAGGGGCUGACCCGGGCACCAAAACAAAAAAAAAUAGUGUAACAUGUGUAAAACAACUUGCUCUAAACGAAUAUGACAAAAAAAAUUCGCACUCGCGAAAGAGGGGUGGGGGAGAGGCUUCGGAAAAUUUAUAUCGGGAAUUUCCGAAAGCGUCUGAACCGGGCACAAAAACAAAAACAAAAACAGCGUAAUAGGUGUAAAACAACUUGCUCUAAACGACUAUGAUGAAAAAAAUGCGCGCUCGCGAAAGGGGGGUGGGGGAGAGGCUUCGGAAAUUUCCCAUCUUCAGUCCACGGCCUUUAAACUAAGAAAAAAUAGUGUAAUUGGUGUAAAACUACUUGUUCUAAACGAGUAUCAAGAACACACACUCACACAUGAAUCAUAAACUCCGUAUUUUUGUACAUAUUUCGCAAAAAAAAAAAAUAAAGAGAAGAAAUUCUGGAAAAAGUGAAGAAAUGUUGGAUCUCCGCUAUGUGAAUCAAAAUACGUGUCAGAAACAUCUUGAAAUACUACAGAAAUUAUGUUACGAAAAUGAUAAUGUAUACAUACCUCUUUGAGUGGUCCAUCGACAGUGUUGAUAAAGAAAUGAGAUGGGUUGCGUUUGGAGGAAAAAAUUAUCGCGGGCCAGGAUAAAGACUUGCUGCUGCCAAUAAGAAUACGUGUAUUCUCUUGGCAGCAGGUUUAAUGCUGUCCAAAAAAGGAACUUCGCCAUGUAUUGUUUUAGGUAACAGGCACGAAUGCCUGGGCGAACAACCGAUUUCUUCACUGACCCCCACAAUCUCUCUAUCGUCUGUGUGUGCACCGACGCGUUUGUCGGAUCCACAAAGUGAGUAUACCCGAGAUUUCCAAGAGAGUUAUAUGCACCCCAAGAAUCGCUAUAUACUACCGACCCUUGGCGUAUAUAUCGGGUAAUUAAGGGGAUCAGUGAGGCGGCAUCUCGCCUUUCCUCUUCGUAUUAAUGACGAAAUAAUUGUAAAUGAAGUAUUAAAAUGAUUUAACUCCAUUCUUUUGAUAUUUGUCAUUACAAAAACUCAAUGGAUAUUUGUGGAUUUUCAGAUAAUUCAAGUGAUAGAGAAAAAUAGCUUCUGACCUUUCAAUCUCUUGAUAGCCAAUAUCUUCAGAAUUGUUUCAUGUGGUAAACACAUGGUUUACAUAACCCAACUCAUUUUUCAUCAUCAUCUGUUUUCCCUCCUGGCAUGGGUUGGACUGUCCCCAGCCAAACCAUCCAACCCAUGCCAGCAUGGAAAACGGACGUUAAAUGAUGAUGAUGAUAUAUAUAUAUUUAUAUAUAUCAAAUGUUGAGAGUAUAGAUGUGUAUAUACAUAUACGCCUGAUCGGUACGUAUCCGGACUGUUGGCAUAGUAACAUAGCUAAAGCAUGCAGAGUGAUGCCCCUUGGCAAAGAUUGAUCUUGAACUCUGCUGUGCAUGUGCACUAAGUUUUAACAUUCUAGCUCUCUUCCACUGUUUACAGCAGUGCUUCGAAGGAAGGUGUGUAGCGUGUGAUCAUCACAUUGACCAUGACAGAGAAAAUUGUCAUGGUGAUACCUGCACAAAGUUUCAGAAAGUCUAUGGGGAGGAGUAUAUGAGCCACAAGCAAUUGUACAAGUGGUUCGGAUGUUUCCAAGAUAGCAAAAAAUGAUAUUGACAAACGUUCUGGGAGACCCCGCAACCAGCAGAACUGAGAAAAAUAUCGCAACUGUGAGAGGAAUUGUGAGUUAUCAGAGGAUAUGCAGAUUAGCUACGGUUCAGUUCAGUCCAUUAUAUCUUAAAGGGAGAUAGGUUUCUGAGCAGGUAUCACCAGGUUUUUGGUAAAAUUUGAUGCAGACCCUCUGCUCAGCUUUCUUUGUCAUAGUCCCUGUGAUAAUCACAUACUACACACCUUGGGAUCAAUAAUGAAAUCAAUAAAAGUCAUAAUUAAUUCAAUCAGCUUCUGUAGAAUAAAGCUGAUGAGAGACAGUUUUCCUGGAUAGAACACCAGUAUAUUAAAGAUGUAUAUACUAAAGUCAUGGCACCCUAUUUUCAACUGCUAGGAGACCUGAAGGUAAGUAGAAUAUGGUGUCCUGCAUAGAAUGAGAAUAGAAAGGACUAAAGUGAAUUUAAAGUGAUAAGACAUUGAGUUAUCCACUUAGCCAUUUGACCUAUCUCAAUAGCAAUCAUUUCACAUUAUUGCAGCCUCAGCAUCCUUGUCACUGUGUAAAGAAGGUAAAAGGGCCCAGUAACAGUUGCAAAAAAAAAAAAAUCAAGUAAUCUGCCUGUAGACGAUCAUGUCAGUCAGUAACAAACCUAAAGCAGUAACUGACUGACCUACCCAAGGUCUUUAUCAUAAUACUAAGUAGACUCAUCAUUACUACCCAUAGUUAAUAAAAGGGUGAAUCUUUUAACCUGUGAACAAUAUUCAUCUUAAGUCAGUAUCCAAAGUAGAGAAUAAACAUAUCUUCUUAAUUUCUUAGAAAUAGCAGCAAAAUAUCACUCAAAUCACAUCCUAUCAUCUUAGAACUGAAGGACACAUUGGGUAAUCUAGUCCUAAAUAUACUGUGUCUAAAGAAUAGAUGGGAUGGUCAUAAAUAGACUGCUUGUGAUCACAAGUCUGUUCACAAAGAAAUCCUGUAUGGCCAAACAAACACUUGCUUUUGAAUGAUUGUUUCUGGCUAUUUGUUUUGUCUCCCAACCCCUGUGAUUGUUAUAUUUUUAAAAUGUGAUGAUACGGCUAUUAAUUGUCAGACAAAUAAACUUAUGAAGACACGCAAAUGAUACCAGCAGCUAACAAACUCAAUUCUCCUCUACGUCGGUCACGGAAUCAUGUCUUCCAUCUCCUCUGUAUUUAUUGACAUUUGUUGAUAUCACAGACACGUCGGUGCUUCCACACACCAGUGUAAAAAGCCUUGUUCCUUUUCUAAUCAGGUAAUUGAGCAUGUGACCACCCUAGCCAGUGCACACUCAUAAUCAUGCAUUCUUUGUCACCGAUUUGUCUUCUCUGCUUGAUUGACAUGAGUGCAGUUUGUCGUAUUUGGCCCUUGAAACUUCUGAAGGCUAAACCCCCACUUUCCCCAAUUUCUCAGCAAGCUGACAAUCAUUCUGCUGUCCCUACUUAUGGCCAAAUCCCUUGCUCUCUGGAUCUGGACUUGCAUAGUGAGUUCACAAAUACUUUCCUUGGGAAACUCAUCACCUAGAUUUUUUUUUCCCUGUUUACAAAUGAUAUUCUCCAUAUCUCUGGUGCACAGAAUGCAGUGGCAGGUGCUCUCUCUAGCCUUUGUGUAUAUUUUUGUUAUCACCUUUAGAUAUCGGUCUUCAUUUUCUUUUUGCAUAUCAGCCUCCCCUAGAGUUGAUCAAUCUUGCUUCCCCUGAAUUUGUGACAUGUAAAUUCAAGUGCUUGCCUGUGCCUAUUUCUGAUGCAUUAUGUGACAUCUCAAUGGUUACACCUCAUCCUCUUGUUCCAGAGACUCAACAUAGAACUGUUUACCACACUCUGCAUAGUCUCUCACAUCUCAGAACUUCAGCCACAGUUAAACUCAUUUCAGUUGGAUUCUUCUGGCCAAAUAUGAGAUGGGAUAUCACUGCUUGGUCGUGUUCUUGCCUUUUCUGCCAGAAAUCAAAGGUGCAUAAACACCUUAUCCAUAUUGAUCUAGUUGGACUGUGCCCAGCAGGCUUUACGUAUCUCCUGACUUGCAUCGACCACUUUACAAAUUGGCCUGAAGCCAUCCCUUUAUGUGAUAUUACACCAGAAUCAGUAGCGAGAGCCCUGGUAUCGGGUUGGAUAUCAUGCUACAGCAUUCCUACCACGCUCACCACUGACCAUGGUAGGCAGUUCAGAUCCUCACUUUUCCAGGAGCUUUUGAAAAUUCUAGGUGCAUGGCUUCAAAUGAUAUGGUGGCACAUUUCCACCUUAAAAUUGAAGGCUGCACUGCGUACGUAUCCUGACCAACAUCAAUGGAGUGAGUAUCAACCCAUUGUUCUUCUGGGCUGCUAUUCAGCCGUUCAAGGAAGAUAUUCGAUCCUCUCCAGUGAAGCUGCUUAAUGGAGUACCAUUAUCCUUGCUAGGUCAGAUGCUGGCCCCAGAGGAUUUAUCCUCCCAAGAUCCUGCUCUUUACAUUAACAGACUUCGGUCGUAUUUCUCUAAUCUUCUGCCAAUGACCUCUCGGCAAUAGACAUCAUUGAUCUUGAAGGACAUUCCUUCAUUGACCCAUGUAUUUCUUUGCAAUGACUCUGUGAGAAGUCCUCUUACACCACCAUACACAAGACCUUACUGCAUCCUUUCCAACACUAACAAACUUUUCACCAUAGCCAUUCAUGGGAGAAAAGUAACUGUAUCAAUCGACUGGGUAAAACGGGCUUUUACAGGUGCUCUUACAGCAGAGCCACAUGCUCCAACCACAUAUACUGCACAACAUGAACUAAUUGCUGCACCAUCGCAUUCAUCACAAUCACACAUAUCUCCCCCACCUUCUCCAACAUGUGACAACGACCUGUAGUGGUCGGCAGGCACACUAUCCCAGUAAAUUAUCCAAGGACAUUUACAUUAUCUAAGUCAGUGGUUCUCAACCUUUUCCCAGCCAUUGUCCCCUAAAAGCUAUUUUUGACGUAAGCUAAUUCAUAAUUGCCCACCAAAAACUGUUAAAAAAAUUUUUCUUUCCUUCCAUGUGUGAUUGACAGUAUUAAAUCCGGUUUCGACAACGUAUGAUGUCAGGAAACACAGAAGGGACUAUCAACAUUUGUGACCAUCAUUUCGAAUAUAGUGACUUUACAGUGUCUGAUUGCCAAAAUUCAGACAAUCUUUUUUGAAAUUAAUUUAAAAUUCACCAUUACAUUUCAUCUCGAAAACUGCCGGGGAGUGGCAGAGACUGUUUAUUACCUGGUGUUUCAAGUGCCAAGAUUGCACAUGGCUGGAAACUGUGUGGAGACAAAGCCUGAACCCAUUUGCUACAGGUACGGGCAGACUGAGCAUAUCGCUCGAAACUGCAGCCAGGGAAAAGGCCACAGGGAAAGUGCUACCUCUCAAACUUCCCAGAACAAAUAGAGGUUUUUAUUGCGCUCACCAGUCAAAAUUGCCAUGUUGUUACAGGAGAGAUACAAAGACGACGUACAUUUGUACCUUUUAUUCCAGUUGGCUAAUUAGGUAUUAAAAAUAGAGUUACUUCUCCAUUAACAGUUACUUGGUAGUUCUUCAUAAUUACUUGUGCUCGCUAAACUUGCUAUGAUUUAAUUAAACAUUUACAUUUAUUUCCUCAGAACUAGUUUGCAACUAACACUUAGGAGAUCAUAUUAACUGUAAAUAAUUGCUAAUUAACUUAACGUCAACGUUUACUGUAAAAGAAGUCUCGACGACCGCUAGAAAAAAGCAUUCUAAAUUAACUCCUGUCUCUAUCAAUUAUAUUGUGCUAUCUUCCUCGUCGGUAGUAUAUUGGAUAUGUAAGUAUUAUUAAUAUGUACAUCUGUAUCGUAUACGUGUCACUUUUACAUACAUCAAUUUGUUUUGUUGAGAAUAGCAGAAAUAAAAGAAGGAAACUGAAGAAGAAAAGAUAUCUCGCGAAAGAACGAUGUUGAGUUUAUAAUUUCACUGCUUCUUUUUUUCUUUUAAUUCUUUAUUUCAGUUUUCAUUGUUCCCAGUAUUAAGAGCCAUGGAAUAACACAAUCGUUAGAGAAUCGAGGGGAAAGUCUUGCAGACUGCUUCUUACGUCCGGAAUUUAAAUCCUGUGGUUUUUCAUCUCUCCGCUGUCAUCUUCGCCUUUCAAUCCCCAAAAUGAUAAAAUAAACUACGUCCGACUUCAC
rnacentral:lncRNA from 1 species